rnacentral:rRNA from 1 species
ACGGAGGAUGCAAGCGUUAUCCGGAUUCAUUGGGUUUAAAGGGUGCGCAGGCGGAAUGAUAAGUCAGUGGUGAAAUCCUACGGCUCAACUGUAGAACUGCCAUUGAUACUGUUAUUCUUGAGUACACUUGAAGUGGGCGGAAUGUGUCAUGUAGCGGUGAAAUGCUUAGAUAUGACGCAGAACACCGAUCGCGAAGGCAGCUUACUGAAUUGUAACUGACACUCAUGCACGAAAGCGUGGGGAUCAAACAG